GAUGAACGCUGGCGGCGUGCCUAAUACAUGCAAGUCGAGCGAACAGACGAGGAGCUUGCUCCUCUGACGUUAGCGGCGGACGGGUGAGUAACACGUGGAUAACCUAUCUAUAAGACUGGGAUAACUUCGGGAAACCUGAGCUAAUAUCGGAUAAUAUAUUGAACCGCAUGGUUCAAUAGUGAAAGACGGAUUUGCUGUCACUUAUAGAUGGAUCCGCGCCGCAUUAGCUAGUUGGUAAGGUAACGGCUUACCAAGGCAACGAUGCGUAGCCGACCUGAGAGGGUGAUCGACCACACUGGAACUGGGGCACGGUCCAGACUCCUACGGGAGGCAGCAGUAGGGAAUCUUCCGCAAUGGGCGAAAGCCUGACGGAGCAACGCCGCGUGAGUGAUGAAGGUCUUCGGAUCGUAAAACUCUGUUAUUAGGGAAGAACAAAUGUGUAAUUAACUAUGCACGUCUUGACGGUACCUAAUCAGAAAGCCACGGCUAACUACGUG
rnacentral:rRNA from 1 species